ensembl:lncRNA
AAUACAUCCUAUAAUAGAAAAAAAUAAUAAUACUUGCUUGGCAAAUAUUGAUAAUACACAUGAAACAUUUGAAAACGUUCAUAUGGUUACUGAUGUAGUAGAGCCAAUUAGUAGUGUAUUUCCAUCUGAACUUAACACUAACUUGAGUACUAACAAUGAAGCAGUUACGAUAGACCAAGCUACUACUCUUGCAACUACUAUUAAUAAUAAUAAUAAUAAUAAUAAUCGUCGCUCUAAUAAUAUUGAUAGCACUCACACAAAUAGACCAAAUAACACAUAUUCUCAAGCACAUUUUAUAAAUAUUGUUAAUCAGUUAUAUACUAAUAUAAUAAGAAAUAACAAUAGAUUAAGAACAGGUACAAAUAAUUCCAUAUCUUUUACUAUACGUAUGAACAACAUGAACAUUGGUAGAAACAAUAUAAUUUUUCCUAAUAAUACAAAUUUGACUACUCAACAUACUGAAGAUAGUAGUAGUGACAAUGACAAUGUCAGCCAUAGUAGUAUCAAUAGUAAUACCAGUCGUAGUAAUGAUACUAUAAUAGUUAAUAGAAAUACUAGAAAUGAUAAUACAAAUAUACAAAAUGAAGACAGCUUAUCUCCUUUUAAUUCUAGCUAUUUUCUAGUAGAUGAUAUAGAUCCACAGGUGUUAUAUGCAAACUCCCAUCCAAGUCGUUCUAUCAAUCAGACGGCCAGGAACUUAGAAACUUACUUGGACAAUUAUAAUAGCGGAAGCGCGAACAACCAAUAUAACAACCUAAGUAAUUACAACAGUACAAACAACAACAGCGGUUCAAACAAUAACGUGAAUAACAACAUGAACAAUAAUCUAAACAACAUGAACAAUAACAUAAACAACAUGAAUAAUAAUAUAAACAACAUGAAUAAUAAUAUAAACAACAUGAAUAAUAAUAUAAACAACAUGAACAAUAAUAUAAACAACAUGAACAAUAAUAUAAACGGCUAUAGUAACAUCAAUUUUAAUCUUAGAAACCUAUUCAACAAUAUUAGAAAUUAUAACACUACAGAAAAUAAUAUCAUAAACUCAUUUGACAGAUAUGAUAGUAGCUCAGUUUGUUUAUAUCCAAACAGGGGUAGUAUGAUGGACCGAUCUGCUGCGAUAGGAACUGACCGUGUGGCUGACCGUGUGACUGAUCGUGUGACUGAUCGUGUGACUGAUCGUGUGGCUGACCGUGUGACUGAUCGUGUGGCUGACCGUGUGACUGAUCGUGUGACUGAUCGUGUGACUGAUCGUGUGACUGAUCGUGUGACUGAUCGUGUAACUGAUGAUGCUGUUGCUUAUCAACCAAAUCGUUUAUUGCAAAACAACUCUUGUUCGAAUGAUGGUAGAACUACAAUAACUAGUGAUAACACACAGAAUAUGACUCUUAAUCCAAACGAAGGGGAUAACACUACCAGGACAAGUGCUCAAGACAAUAGCAAUAAUAAAAACACCAGUUCUUUACUAAAAAACAAAAAUAAUAACACAGGUAUAAUAGAUAACGGAAAUAAUAAUAACAAAAAUGAUGAUAACAAAAAUGAUGAUAACAAAAAUGAUGAUAACAAAAACAGAAAUAAUUUUUUUUUAAGGGACACAGUAUUAGAUAGAGAUAUGAAAUUAAGAAGUGGUAUUGUUAGUUCUAUGUAUAACCGAUUGUGCAAAGCUGUUCCUAAGGUAACAAUUAACCUACCCAUUAGCAACUUACUAGAUCAAAAAAAAAAAAUAAUAGAAUUAAUGAUAGAAGAUAAUAAUAGGAGAAAAAAAGAAUAUGAAUAUAAUAAUAACAAAAAAGGAAACGGACAUUCGAAAAAUCAAAAGAAAAAAGAUUCUUCUUGUUCUAAAACAUCAUCUGUAGUAGUGAAGGACGAAGAUAUUUUAAAAAAUAAAAACACGUUAGUAGAUGACUUGAGUAGUAAUAUUGCUGAAAUACCAGAUGGUCAGGAUGGUAAUAUCAACGCAAGUGAAGUCAUCACUAGUCAAUAUAAUAACACAAACCCAAUUAACGAAAAUAAUGUUAACGAUGUUACAAAUGUAGAAAUUUAUGAAACAGGAGUGAUAAAUACAGAAACUACCCAAGGUAACAACACUAGAACUGACAACUGUAACAAUAAUAACACAAAUGAAGUUACCGAAACACCAACUCAAGAAACUUCAAAUAUGACAGAAAAUACAACUGAAAUGAAACAGAAGGAAGAAGAAGAUGAUUAUAAAUACAUAGAUUAUGAAAACUUAUUUGAUUAUGUUUUAAAAAACGAAUCACUUCUUAUAAUAUGCUGUGCGUUAGGUAUAAAUCAAAAUCAAUUAUUUAGUAUGCUAAAUGUUGAUAGGUCUUUUCUUAUUGAACUACCUGAUAGUUUUGUAGAUGAAAUAGUAAUACAACAUUUAAAAAAUAUAACACUUGCUAAUGUUAAUACAACAAAACAAGAAAACAUACAAAAUGGAAAUAAUAUAUCAUUCGAAGUUUAUAAAAAAUAUUUAAAAUAUUUAGAAUUUAGAAAAACACAAAAAUCGGAUUUAUUACCUGAACAAGCGAAUGAAUCGGUUACCAAUUCGAAUACUGGUUCACAUGAUGACGUUUUGUCUGAUCAAGUGGCUGUACCAAGUGGAGUCGCAACUGACCCUGAGAGAACACCUGAGAGAACACCUGAGCGAACGCCUGAGAGAACACCUGAGAGAACAGUUGAGAGAACACCUGAGAGAACAGUUGAGAGAACACCUGAGAGAACACCUGAGAGAACAACUGAAAGAGUACCUGAGCCUGAUUCGAUAAAUGGGGCCAUCAGCGGGAAUACAGUCACAACACGCGAUGUUACCACAAGCAACAAAACCAAUGAUCAAGAAACAAACACAAAUAUCUACAACAGCAUAAAAAAAAGUUACCUACAAGCAUUACCAUGUAAUGUACGUUCAGAAGUUAAAAAAAUUAUACUUGGAAAUGAAAAUAGAACCUAUACACUUGAUGAAAUUAAUGUGGCAUUUAUAGAAUCAUUGGAACCUGAAUUGAGAAGACAAGUAUUAUCAACAGCUAGUAACAAAUUUAUAAGAACAUUAACAAACGAAAUGAUUGAAGAGGCAAGAAACAUAAGAUUUUUAGUGGAUCAUAAUAACCAACAAAAUAAUAAUACUACCAAUAAUACGAAUGCUAAUGUUUCUACUACUGCUGGUCUUACUGCUACUGCUGGUUCUACUGCUACUGCUGGUUCUACUGCUACUGCUGGUUCUACUACUACUGCUGGUCUUAUUGCUACUGCUGGUCUUACUGCUACUGCUGGUCUUACUACAACUGCUGGUCUUACUGCAACUGCUGGUUCUACUACUACUGCUGGUUCUAUUACUAGUGCUGGUGCGAAUGGCAAUAACACUGUUGAACGUAUUUCGAGUAGAAGAUCCAAUGAAAUUAACAAUCCUAUCAGUUCACGUACAAGUGCAAGUGCAAGUGCAAGCGCAAGCGCAAGUGUUACUGAUACUAGUACUAGUACACUUACAAAUAUUAUUAACGAUGCUACAAGUGUUGUAACUAAUGAUGUCACAAAUACAAAUACUACAAAUAAUACUAAUGAUAGUAAUAAUACCAAUACAUCUAAUACUAUGGUCAUUUGGAAUGCUAACAAUCGAACUGGACAUACUCGAACUGGACAUAUUCGAACUGGGCAUACACGAACUGGGCAUACACGAACUGAUCAUAACCGAACUGAUCAUAAUCGAACUGUGCAUAGUAGAACUGGACAUAGUCGAACUGGGUAUAGUCGAACAGAACAUAGACGAACUGGACAUAGCCAAACUGAACAUAGUCGAACUGGACAUAUCAGAAAUAACCAUAACAGAGCUAGACGCACAUCUAACAACAUAAUACGUACUAUUACAACAAAUGAUAACAGAGAUGAAUUAAUUAAUGCAGAUACUAUGCAAACUCUGAUCCAUAUAGGUAAUAUAUUAGAACAAAGAAUAGUACAAAAUUCUUUACAUGGUAGAAGUUUAACAUUUAGAAAUAUGACGUCACAAACAAAUAAUAGUAACCAGCCUUAUAACAGCAUUCUUAUAAAUACAAAUAAUAGAAGUAAUCGAAAUAGAAGAAACAACACAAGUAACAGAAUUAAUAGAAAUAAUAUGUUGCUUCACGCAUUGAGAAGGGGUUAUAUAUUAACUAACCAUAAUAAUAAUAAUAAUAAUAAUAUUUUAAAUAAUAAUAUUUUAAAUAAUAAUAUUCUAAAUAAUAAUACUAAUCAUAAUAAUAUUAAUAGACGUUUUUCCCAUCCUUCAUUAUUUUCUACAUCAGCAUUAUCAAAUUCAAGAAACCCAAGAAGCAGAAAUAAUUUACUUAGGGUAACUUAUAAUGAUAAUAAUAAUAAUAAUAAUAAUAAUAGUAAUAAUAAUCAUAAUACUCCAGUUAUUGUUAUUAAUGCACGUGGUUUAAAUUCUCCUUCUAGUUUUAUUGAUAAUCUUUUCAAUAAUGGGUUACUACAAUCAACUGAUAAUAUACCAACAGGAAUUUAUAAUAAUAAUCCUCAUUUUAGAACUAUUGUAGAAAGACAUGAACAUAAUUGUGACAAUAGUGAUGGUAGUGAUGAUAGUAGCAGUAGUAACAGUAAUGAUAAUGAAAACGAUAUAAGAAACGUAUUUAAUAAUAGUAGUAAUAAUAAUAGUAAUAAUAAUAAUAAUAGUAAUAAUAAUAAUAAUAAUAAUAAUGCUACUAAUAGAGGUACUAAUAAUAACGCUAUUAAUAGAGGUAACAAUGAUAACAUAAGUGGUAGUACGAAUAAUAACAACAGAAAUAAUGACAUAAACAGUAGUGAAAUUAUUAGAUAUGGUAUUAUAACAAAUGAUCUACCAAGAACCGAAACUGUUUCAAUAAAUAACCUGUUAAAUAACAAUACAUUUAACCACCGAUUAGGACUAAGUAAUAUAGAUAGAAAUAAUUUUAUUGGUAACAACAAUAAUAAUAGUUAUCACAUGGAUAGAAAUAAUGUAGAAAUAAACGAUUAUAUGGGAAAUAAUAUUAUAAAUAAUGAUAUUAUUAGAGAGGAAAUAAUACCAGGUGAUAAUAUAGACAUGAUAUGGGACAACACCAACCCCAAUUAUACAUCAAUAACUAACUUCCUAAAUAAUAACAACAUAAUUAAUAAUAGUAAUAAUAAUAAUAAUAAUAAUAUACUUAAUAACAUUAUCAAUGGUGGUAAUAAUAGUAACGUGAUAGUAGGUGAUGGUAUUGGUGGACAAAGAGACUAUUAUAAUAACACAAGUAGUAGUAACAUCAACAAUAAUAAUACAAAUAGCAUUAUUAAUAAUACUAAUAAUAACAUUAUUCAUAAUAACAAUGUAAAUGAUAUACAACUAUUGUUUAAUGAGCAAAACAGAAUAAACAAUACUUCGAAUAAUAUGAUUACAAAUAGUAAUAAUACUUUAACAAAUAAUAUUAGAACUACUAAUGACAAUACUACUACUACUACUAAUAAUAAUAAUAACAACUAUUUGUAUUACAUGAUGAAUGAUAAUAGGAUGUUAGAAAGAGGAGAUAAUGCAUCGGUAAUAAGGUGCUUAAAGAAUCUAUUUAAUACAAACAUAAAUCAAUUAAAAUCAUCUAUGAAUAAUAAUAAAAACGAUUCUGCCUUAUAUGUAUGUUUUGAAGAACCACUUCCCACACAAGCAUUAAUAGAUGUAUGUAGAUUAUUAUUUUUAAAAAAAGAAAUAAACAAAAAAAUUAUGUUUACUUUGUUUUGUAACCUCAUCUGUUCUUUCCAAAAAACGAAAACAUAUAUUUUACAGUUAUUUAUGAAUAUGUUAUGGGGUGCAACAGUAGAUUUGCAUGGAAGAAAUGGAAACCCAUCUGUCGUUACAUUACGCAUGAUCAAUUUUCCACCAAGAACUUUAUAUCAAAAUGUGAAUAAAAAAGAUCAAGAUGCAUUAAAUGCAGAUAGUCAUUUUACAGCAGCAUUAGUAUCAUCAGAAAGAGUUCUAGAACAAAUACAAUCUUUAUUAAUUACAAUACCACAUAUUACUACUUUUUUUUCAACUUUAUUAAUUCACCCUUCUUAUUUUAUCCCCAAGGAAAUUGAACAGAAAAUAAAGAAAAAAAAUGAAAAAAAAGGAACUAACAUUUUUACAUAUGGAAACAAUGAAUUGAAUAUAAACAAUAACCAAAAGUCGAUGGGAGAAGAAGACAAAUCUGUAAACGGAAAAGUACCAGAGCACUCAGAUGAUAUAGAUGAAUGUAUUGAAAAAUGGAAAGACGAUGAGGCCGUUAUUUUACAGUAUGAACUUAAAAGAAAACGUUUGAAAAUGGAUCUGAAUAAAAAUUCUGUACAAGAGGAAUUUCCAUCGCAACGACAUCGUCAAUCGAGUGGUAGUACAACUGGAAUCGUAAAUAAUAAUACCAAUGAUGUUAUAAGUAGUAGUAGCAUCAGUUGUAAUAAUUUACAAAACAAACCGACGCAAGAGUACCCAAUCAACAUCUUGUUACAAUUAUUAAACUCAUCACUCUAUUUAACAUCUAAAAAAUUGAUGAACCAUUUACUAUCUGUUAUCAUCGAUAUUCUGCUCAAUUGUGGUAAAAAGAAUCAUUCUCUUCUUAAUUUUACAAGAUGGAUUUAUGCUGAAAACAUACCACAUAUUUUGACCCCCGACAAAAAUAAUGUAAAAAAAAAUGGUGAUGAUAUUUCUACAGAAAAUAAGGACAAUUACAACAACAAGAACAACAAGGAAGACUCAUUAUUAGACAAACCUGAACAUGAUGAUAAUACUACAGAAACUGUCAACAGUAAUAAAGAAAAUAAUGUUAAAAAUAAAAAAAAUAAAAAAAAAGAUAAUAAUGCAAACUUAAAAGAAUCAUCAAGUAACUCAUUUAAAGUAAAUAAAGAAAUAUUAUUGAAUAUAAAAAAUAUAAAACCGAAUGAAAAAGGCGAACGUAUUCAAAAACCUGAACGCAUUGAAGUGUUCAUAAAACCGAGUUAUGUAUGGGACGUUAUAUCUAUAGAUGCAAUCAGUAACUUUAGCAAACUUGUCUGUAAUUAUAAAACUAAUUUCUUAUGGCAUAAUUCUAAUAAUUUAAAUAACUAUAACUCAAAUAGUAAUAAUCAUAAUAAUAACAGUAAUGGUAGUAAUAAUCUUGAACAAGUACAUAAACAGGACAUCUCUUCAUUAACUCAAAUCUUUAUAAUGUUUUUUUCGCAUUAUAAAUUAAAGGAUAUUGUUAUUAAAACGUUAAAAUAUCAUACAUAUACACUAAUCAAACGCAUUAUAUACGAUUUGAAGCAAAUAGUUCAAUCAAUUAAAAAUAACACUCUUAAAAAAUAUUCAGUAGAUCAUACUGAUAGUUUGGAACAAAAACUUGUUGCAUUGUAUAGAGUAAUCAUAAUACUAUUUAAUGCACCUUCAGUUAUCGACAGUUUGACAAGAAAACGUGAGGAUAAUCACAAAACAAGUAGAAGUAGUAGUAAUAAAGAUGGUACUAAUAACAAAGUAAAUAAUACUAAAGUAGAACAAAGUACUGUAAUUAAUUCAGCUAAAAGCACGGGAAGCAUUAUAUCCAAUACUGUUGCGGAAACUUCACUUGCAACGACACGCAUCACUAAUGAUAACAUUACCCAGGGUAAUACAAAUAAUAAUACUAGCCCUCUUAACAGUCCUAACAAAACCGUUACUACUAAUGGUCAUGUUGGCAAAAACGACAGCAAUAGUAAUAAAAAACAAACAGGUGCACUCGGUUCAAGCAUUAACGAAAAAAAAAAUAAAAAAAUAAAAGAAGAAACAAAAUUUGAUAUUUGUGCUGAAUUUUUUCUUUCUAUUAAUAUUGAUGCAUUAUGGGAAGAGUUUAAUAAGACUAUGCAAGUAAUUAGUAAUAUGUUUACCGAUCAAAAUUAUAAUUUUAAAUAUAAUGCAAAUAAAACUUCUUCAAAUGGUAAUAAUAUAUCCAAUGAAGAGCCAGCAAUUAUAGAUAAUAACAAUAAUAAUAAUAAUAAUAAUAAUACUAGUAGUAGUAGUAACAUAAAUAUAAGACAGACGCAAGCGCAAAAUGGUGAGCAGCAUAAUGAUCAAAACCAAACAGAGGCGAAUAACAUCACCUUAUACGAUUGCAGUUUCUCUUCUUCGUGUGAUACUUCAGAACAAGAAAGUGAUAUUUAUAAUAAUAUUACAGAUGUUGCAGUUUCAGGAGUAGAUUCAACAGCGGAACAUAAUGUGUUUCAAAACGACAAUGAUGAAGAAAACGACAAUUAUAACGAUGACGACAACCACGGCCACGGCCACGACUACGACCACAACGGAAACGACAAUGGAAACGAUCAUCUAACUAAUACCGGGGUAGUAGAAAAAAAAAAAGAAAAUGAUGAAGAACCACCACCUAUUAUUUUAAAUUAUAUUCUACCACUAAUGGAGGCUUACUUAUUUAUAGAAGAAGUAAUAUUAGUAUCUCAAUAUAAAUUAAAAAAGUUUAAAGAUUUAGAAAGAAAAAUAGCGAAUGUAAAUAUUGAAUCAAUAAAACUGAACGAAAAACUAACGUACGACGAUUGUCCUUUUUAUAUAAGCAUAUACAAUACUCAUGCGAAAAAUACUAAUGGUAAUACUACUAAUAAAAUAAAAAAAAAAGAAAUAUCCAAGUCGGAUGAAUCUUUAUGUAAUAAUAAUACUGUUAGUAAUGGUACAACUCAUUUAAAAAAUGUAAAUAAAUCUAAAAGGAAAAAAGAACACACUUCUAUAGAAUCAGAAUUAGGGUCAGGAUUAGGAUUAAAUCCUCAAGAAGUAAAUGAUAACAAAAUGAAACAAAAUAGGAAUGAUGUUGUUGAACCGUGUGCUAAUAAUACUGUCUCAAGUGAUUUCAAUUUAAUAAAAGAUAAUAAAGAAACUGAUAUUGAUUAUAAUGUAACCAAUAAAAAGGAAGACAAUGUGUUAUCAGAGCACGACACAACAGUUUAUACUAAUAAUAAUGAUGAUUAUGAAAUAUAUGAUAUAAAUAAACAUUAUAAAAAAAAAAAAAAAAAAAACCGACGCAGGUGAUAUUACUAUUACUACUACUACUACUACUACUACUACGACUAAUAAUAAUGAUGGUAUGACUAAUAAUGACAAGACAAUAAGCGAAAAUAAAAACGGACCGAAUAUAAAUAGUAAAAACA